GAUGAACGCUGGCGGCGUGCCUAAUACAUGCAAGUCGAGCGAACAGACGAGGAGCUUGCUCCUCUGACGUUAGCGGCGGACGGGUGAGUAACACGUGGAUAACCUACCUAUAAGACUGGGAUAACUUCGGGAAACCGGAGCUAAUACCGGAUAACAUGUUGAACCGCAUGGUUCAACAGUGGAAGACGGUCUUGCUGUCACUUAUAGAUGGAUCCGCGCCGCAUUAGCUAGUUGGUAAGGUAACGGCUUACCAAGGCAACGAUGCGUAGCCGACCUGAGAGGGUGAUCGGCCACACUGGAACUGAGACACGGUCCAGACUCCUACGGGAGGCAGCAGUAGGGAAUCUUCCGCAAUGGGCGAAAGCCUGACGGAGCAACGCCGCGUGAGUGAUGAAGGUCUUCGGAUCGUAAAACUCUGUUAUUAGGGAAGAACAAAUGUGUAAGUAACUAUGCACGUCUUGACGGUACCUAAUCAGAAAGCCACGGCUAACUACGUG
rnacentral:rRNA from 1 species